CAGUCGCCACGGUAAUACGGAGGGUGCAAGCGUUAAUCGGAAUUACUGGGCGUAAAGCGCACGCAGGCGGUCUGUCAAGUCGGAUGUGAAAUCCCCGGGCUCAACCUGGGAACUGCAUUCGAAACUGGCAGGCUAGAGUCUUGUAGAGGGGGGUAGAAUUCCAGGUGUAGCGGUGAAAUGCGUAGAGAUCUGGAGGAAUACCGGUGGCGAAGGCGGCCCCCUGGCCUAAUACUGACGCUGAGGUACGAAAGCAUGGGGAGCAAACAGGAUUAGAUACCCGUGUAGUCCCUGUCUCUUAUAU
rnacentral:rRNA from 1 species